rnacentral:rRNA from 1 species
CCUACGGGUGGCUGCAGUAGGGAAUUUUCGGCAAUGGGGGGAACCCUGACCGAGCAAUGCCGCGUGAUUGAAGAAGAUCUUCGGAUCGUAAAGAUCUGUUAUUAGGGAAGAAUGGAAUUGAUAGGAAAUGAUCAAUUUAUGACGGUGCCUAAUGAGGAAGCCCCGGCUAACUAUGUGCCAGCAGCCGCGGUAAUACAUAGGGGGCGAGCGUUAUCCGGAAUUAUUGGGCGUAAAGGGUACGUAGGCGGGCCUGCAAGUCUGAUUUGAAAGCACACGGCUUAACCGUGUGAGGUAAUUAGAAACUACAGGUCUAGAGAGUGGUAGAGGUAAAUGGAAUUCCAAGUGGAGCGGUGAAAUGCGUAGAGAUUUGGAGGAACACCAGUGGCGAAGGCGGUUUACUGGGCCACAUCUGACGCUGAUGUACGAAAGCGUGGGGAGCAAACAGGAUUAGAUACCCCAGUAGUC